GAUGAACGCUGGCGGCGUGCCUAAUACAUGCAAGUCGAGCGAACGGACGAGAAGCUUGCUUCUCUGAUGUUAGCGGCGGACGGGUGAGUAACACGUGGAUAACCUACCUAUAAGACUGGGAUAACUUCGGGAAACCGGAGCUAAUACCGGAUAAUAUUUUGAACCGCAUGGUUCAAAAGUGAAAGACGGUCUUGCUGUCACUUAUAGAUGGAUCCGCGCUGCAUUAGCUAGUUGGUAAGGUAACGGCUUACCAAGGCAACGAUGCAUAGCCGACCUGAGAGGGUGAUCGGCCACACUGGAACUGAGACACGGUCCAGACUCCUACGGGAGGCAGCAGUAGGGAAUCUUCCGCAAUGGGCGGAAGCCUGAUGGAGCAACGCCGCGUGAGUGAUGAAGGUCUUCGGAUCGUAAAACUCUGUUAUUAGGGAAGAACAUAUGUGUAAGUAACUGUGCACAUCUUGACGGUACCUAAUCAGAAAGCCACGGCUAACUACGUG
rnacentral:rRNA from 1 species